rnacentral:rRNA from 1 species
ACUGGCUCACGGGUGAGUAACGCGUGAACUUGUGCCUUUUUUCUGGGGAUACCGUUUGGACCCGAACUUUAAUACCGGAGUGCUUUAACUGCUCCUGCUUAUUUUCCAGGAAGAAAACAGCAAUUCGCGUUCUAUCGGCUCUGUGGUGGAGUAACGGCCUACCAUGGCUACGACGGAUAGCUGGUCUGACAGGAUGAUCAUCCACACUGGAACUGACACACCGGCCACACUCCCACGGGAGGCACUCCUGAGGAAUCUUGCACAAUGGAAUAAUGCCUGAUGCACCAACGCCUCAUGAAGGACCACCGCCUUCGGGAUGACAACCUCUGUCUUGAAGGAAGCAUAUUGACAGUACCAACUGAGGAAGCUUCUGCUAACUACGUGCCAGCAGCCGCGUGCCGACGUACGGAGCAAGCGUUGCGGGGAAUUACUGAGCGUAAAUAGCUCGUAGGCAGGCGCCUGCGUCUGAGAUGAUAUCUCUGAGCUUAACCUUGGGGCUGUCUCACAUACGCUGCUUCUUAUGGAGGUGAGAUGAAAGUGGACUUUCCCGUGUAGCAGUGAUAUGCGUAGAUAUCAGAAGGUACAUCAUGUGGGGAGACGACUUGCUGGAGCAUUCCUGAUGCUGCAGAGCUGAAGCUGAGUAGCGAACGGUGUGAGAUGACCAGAUUGAUCAGCCCG